rnacentral:snoRNA from 1 species
UGUGGGUGAUGACUCGCUUACUCCGACAAACACAUGGGGGUACAAACUGAUUUAAUGAGCCUGACAC